GCUGGGCUUGGUAGUGCGAGCUUGUAACCUGAGUGGGAGCAUUAAGAUGGUGGAACAGUUGGCCUUCCCUUGAAGGCUGGGUCUUGGUUGCUAUCUACUGGCUCGCUCGUUCCAAGUGGUGAGUUGUGCCGUGGAUCCUCUGCAAAGGCGGAGGCUUCCCGGUCCUUAGAUUGGAGGGGGCACCGCGUGAGGCUGGUUUCACAGAGCAUCGAAAACCUGUGGAAGGAUAACGGGCCGGUGCAUCUUCUACCCAUGCCACUUACUAUAUAUAUAUAUAUAUAUAUAUAU
rnacentral:SRP_RNA from 1 species